UGUGCAUCUGCGGUGUGGGCCCGGACCAGUUAGAGGGUCUUCUUCUUUCCCCGCACGACUCGCUCGCCCGCACACCGGCCACGGGGGAAUCCGGGGGUGGUUGUGCUAGUCAUGCAUACCGGACCUCCCCUUGCCCCUCCGAUUCGCUCCACGCCAGCACCUAGGAACUUGGGCCAGAGCUUGGUGUUCCGCUAUUCGCAACCGCAAAGGAGAGCUUGAAGACACCACCGCACCCGUAUUUGGUCUGUGGUGCCGUUCGGCUCCCCGGAUGUGGGUAGAGCGCAUCGUUUGCGAGUGAGGGACCUGGACAGGGCGACUCCAGGGGCGGUGAACCGGUGAGUCUCUGUUAAUUGCUCGCUGACGACACAUCGCCACCGCGGGUCUGCGCUACACCGUGGAUAGGGCCUCGCAUCGCGUGAUUCAUGGUAA
rnacentral:lncRNA from 7 species